rnacentral:rRNA from 1 species
GACGAACGCUGGCGGCGUGCCUAAUACAUGCAAGUCGAACGAAACUUUCUUACACCGAAUGCUUGCAUUCACCGUAAGAAGUUGAGUGGCGGACGGGUGAGUAACACGUGGGUAACCUGCCUAAAAGAAGGGGAUAACACUUGGAAACAGGUGCUAAUACCGUAUAUCUCUAAGGAUCGCAUGAUCCUUAGAUGAAAGAUGGUUCUGCUAUCGCUUUUAGAUGGACCCGCGGCGUAUUAACUAGUUGGUGGGGUAACGGCCUACCAAGGUGAUGAUACGUAGCCGAACUGAGAGGUUGAUC